rnacentral:rRNA from 1 species
AGAGUUUGAUCAUGGCUCAGGAUAAACGCUGGCGGCGUGCCUAACACAUGCAAGUCGAACGCUCUUCGCAAGAAGAGAGUGGCGGACGGGUGAGGAACACGUGGGUUAUCUACCUUGAGGUGAGGAAUACCGGCGAGAAAUCGCCGACAAAACCGCAUGAGCUCGUGCGAGCGAGCAAAGUCGCAAGACGCCCCAAGAUG